AGAGUUUGAUCCUGGCUCAGAUUGAACGCUGGCGGCAUGCUUUACACAUGCAAGUCGAACGGGGUUAAGGGGCUUGCUCCUUAAUCUAGUGGCGAACGGGUGAGUAAUGCAUCGGAACGUACCCGGGAGUGGGGGAUAACGCACCGAAAGGUGUGCUAAUACCGCAUAUUCUGUGAGCAGGAAAGCAGGGGACCUUAGGGCCUUGUGCUCCGGAGCGGCCGAUGUCGGAUUAGCUAGUGGUGAGGUAAGGGUCACCAGGCGACGAUCCGUAGC
rnacentral:rRNA from 1 species